rnacentral:rRNA from 1 species
GACGAACGCUGGCGGCGUGCUUAACACAUGCAAGUCGAACGGAAAGGCCCCUUUUGGGGUACUCGAUUGGCGAACGGGUGGGUAACACGUGCGUAACCUGCCCUUGACUUCGGGAUAACUACAUGCAACUGGGGCUAAUACCUGAUAGGAAUCCUUUCUUCAUGGUUGGGGUUGGAAAGCUUCUGCGGUUGUGGAUGGACUCGCGGGUUAUCAGCUUGGUUGUGGGGGUGUGGCUUACCAAGGCUUUGUUUGGUAGCCAGCCUGAGGGGGCGACCGGCCACAUUGGGACUGAGGUAAGGCCCAGACGCCCAAGGGAGGCAGCAGUGGGGAAUAUUGCACAAUGGGCGGAAGCCUGAUGCAGCAACGCCGCGGGCGGGAUGACGGCCUUCGGGUUGGAAAACGCUUUCAGCAGGGGCGAAGCUUGUGGUGACGGUACCUGCAGAAGAAGCACCGGCUAACUACGUG